GAUGAACGCUGGCGGCGUGCCUAAUACAUGCAAGUCGAGCGCGAGAUUGAGGAGCUUGCUCCUCAUGAUCGAGCGGCGGACGGGUGAGUGACACGUAGGCAACCUACCCUUGAGAUUGGGAUAACUACCGGAAACGGUAGCUAAUACCGGAUACGACUUUACUGCAUAAGCAGUUCAGUUAAAAGGAGGAUUUAUCUGCUGCUCAGGGAUGGGCCUGCGGUGCAUUAGCUAGUUGGUGAGGUAGUGGCUAACCAAGGCGACGAUGCAUAGCCGACCUGAGAGGGUGAUCGGCCACACUGGGACUGAGACACGGCCCAGACUCCUACGGGAGGCAGCAGUAGGGAAUCUUCCGCAAUGGACGAAAGUCUGACGGAGCAACGCCGCGUGAGUGAUGGAGGGUUUCGGCUCGUAAAACUCCGUUGUUAAGGAAGAACACUUGAGGUAGUAACUGGCCUUGAGAUGACGGUACUUAACCAGAAAGCCACGGCUAACUACGUGCCAGCAGCCGCAGUAA
rnacentral:rRNA from 1 species